rnacentral:rRNA from 1 species
CGCGUAGGCGGGAUAGCAAGUCAGUGGUGAAUCUUGCAGCUUAACUGCAAACUGCCGUUGAUACUGCUGUUCUUGAGUGUGGAAGAGAGAGGCGGAAUUCCAGGUGUAGUAGUGAAAUACGUAGAUAUCUGGAAGAACACCAAUUGCGAAGGCUGCUUCUUGGUCCAUAACUGACGCUGAGGCGCGAAAGCGUGGGGAGCAAACA